rnacentral:SRP_RNA from 15 species
UCAAGCUGCGGAGGCUCCCGCGAGAAGAACCUGGACUCAUCAAGGUGGUCGUCUGCCUCCAAGGACGCAAACUCCAGCCCUGUGUGACUGGCGAGUUGCGACUGCCUCGCGGGUUGGAGGGCCAGUGCCGCAGCUGCUGCGCCGAGAAGCACCAGGCCCGGAAGACUCAGAGCAGCAUA